UCAAGCGAACAAGGGCGCAGGGCGAAUGCCUUGGCACUGGGAGCCGAUGAAAGACGUGAUAAGCUGCGAUAAGCUUCGGGGAGCUGCAAAUAAGCAUUGAUCCGGAGAUUUCUGAAUGAGGAAACUCACCUGGGUUCAUACUCAGGUACGUUGUACUGAAAUUCAAAAUAGGUACAUCGGGGGAACCGCCUGAACUGAAACAUCUAAGUAGGGCGAGGAAGAGACAUCAAACGAGAUUCCGUAAGUAGUGGCGAGCGAACGCGGAAGAGGGCAAACCGGGAGUAGAAAUACUUCCGGGGUACGGACUGCUUUUAGGACUCGAUCUGUUAACCGAACGGCAUGGGAAGGCCGGUCAGAGAGUGUGAGAACCACGUAGGUGAAAACGGAGAGAGCUGCGCAGGAUCCAGAGUACGGCCAGACACGUGAAACCUGGUCGGAAGAUGGGGGGACCACCCUCCAACCCUAAAUACUACCCAGUGACCGAUAGCGUAUAGUACUGUGAAGGAAAGGUGAAAAGCACCCCGGGAGGGGAGUGAAAAAGAACCUGAAACCCUGUGCCUACAAGCACCUAGAGCACGUCAAUGUGUGAUAGGGUACUUUUUGUAGAACGGUCCGGCGAGCGAUUGUAUGCAGCAAGGUUAAGGACUUAAGGUCUGGAGCCGAAGCGAAAGCGAGUUUGAAAAGGGCGUUAAGUUGCAUAUAAUGGGCCCGAAACCGGGUGACCUACCCAUGGUCAGGUUGAAGUGGAAGUAAAAUUCCAUGGAGGACCGAACCGACCUCCGUUGAAAAGGCGGCGGAUGAACUGUGGGUAGCGGAGAAAUUCCAAUCGAACCCGGAGAUAGCUGGUUCUCCCCGAAAUAGUUUUAGGACUAGCCUCAAGUUAGAUACCUGGAGGUAAAGCACUGAAUAGCCUAGCGGCCGAGAGGUUAGCGAAGCUUAUCAAACUCAGAAUGCCAGAGUAUUGAUGCUUGGGAGUCAGACAGUGUCAGAUAAAUGUCAUUGUCAAAAGGGAAACAGCCCAGAUCUACAGCUAAGGUCCCAAAGUCAGGUUAAGUGGAAAACGAUGUGAAGAUACGCAGACAACCAGGAUGUUGGCUCAGAAGCAGCCACUCAUUCAAAGAGUGCGUAAUAGCUCACUGGUCGAGCGUCUUUGCGCGGAGAAUUUAACGGGGCUAAACCUGACACCGAAGCUUAGGCAAUCCAGCAAUGGAUUGGGUAGGGGAGCGUUGUAUACGCGGAGAAACAGUAGCGUAAGCGGCUGUGGAGUGUAUAGAAGUGAGAAUGCCGGAAUGAGUAGCGCGAAUGCAGUGAGAAUCUGCAUGGCCGAAAGCCUCAGGUUUUUGGAGGAAGGUUCGUCCGCUCCAAGUUAGUCGGGAGCUAAGGUGAGGCCGGAAGGCGUAGCCGAUGCACAGACGGUAGAGAUUCCGUCACCACCAAAAGAGUUAAGCACAGGGACACAUUUGAAGUCUCAGAGCCGGGUGUUGGUUCCGGUAGAGAUCGAGGGAAGUUAGUACCGAAGUCUGGGAUGGAGGAUGGCGAGAAAAGCUGUGUGUAUUUCUGAGGUGCCCGUACCGCAAACCGACACAGGUAGGUAGGAAGAAGAUUCUAAGGCCAACGGGAGAAGGGUUGUUAAGGAACUCGGCAAAUUGACCCCGUAACUUCGGGAGAAGGGGUGCUCCAGAGAUGGAGCCGCAGAGAAUCGGCCCAAGCAACUGUUUACCAAAAACACAGGUUUGUGCUAAAUCGAAAGAUGACGUAUACGAGCUGACGCCUGCCCGGUGCUGGAAGGUUAAGAGGAGAUGUGCAAGCAUUGAAUCGAAGCCCCAGUGAACGGCGGCCGUAACUAUAACGGUCCUAAGGUAGCGAAAUUCCUUGUCAGGUAAG
rnacentral:rRNA from 1 species